GACGAACGCUGGCGGUGUGCUUAACACAUGCAAGUCGAACGGUAAGGCCCUUUCGGGGGUACACGAGUGGCGAACGGGUGCGUAACACGUGAGUAACCUGCCCUCAUCUCUGGGAUAACAGUCGGAAAGGGUUGCUAAUACUGGUUAUGAGCUUGCCAGGCAUCUUGUGGGUUGGAAAGAUUUUUUUUGGUUGGGGAUGGACUCGCGGCCUAUCAGCUUGUUGGUGGGGUAGUGGCUCACCAAGGCUUCGACGGGUAGCCGGCCUGAGAGGGCGAACGGCCACAUUGGGACUGAGAUACGGCCCAAACUCCUACGGGAGGCAGCAGUGGGGAAUAUUGGACAAUGGACGGAAGUCUGAUGCAGCAACGCCGCGUGCGGGAUGACGGCCUUCGGGUUGUAAACCGCUUUCAAUUGUGACGAAGCUUUUUUGUGACGGUAGCAGUAGAAGAAGCACCGGCUAACUACGUG
rnacentral:rRNA from 1 species